rnacentral:tRNA from 1 species
GGGAAUGUGGCUUAGUGGUAGAGUGCUUGCCUAGCAUGCAUGAAUCCCUGGGUUCGAUUCCUCAGUACCU